UGUUCGAGCGUCAGUACAACCCUCAAGCUCAGCUUGGUCUUGAGCCCCGCCGGCAACGGCAGGCUUUAAAAUCAGUGGCGGCGCCCCUGGGCUCUCAGCGUAGUAAUACACCCCGCUGUAGAGCCCCAGUGGAUGCUGGCCAGCAACCCCCAACUUCUACGUUUGACCUCGGAUCAGGUAGGGAUACCCGCUGAACUUAA
rnacentral:misc_RNA from 1 species